UCCUUACGGGAGGAGCCAGUGGGGAAUUUUGCCAAUGGGGGCAACCCUGAUCCGGCAGGCCGCGGGGGGAAGAAGGCUUUGGCGGGUAAACCCUUUGUCGGAAGAAAGUGCUUGGCUAAUAACCGGGGAAUGACGGUAUACAGAGAAGCACAGCUACUCCG
rnacentral:rRNA from 1 species